GCAUUAGUGGUGUAGCGGUAACAUUGGGUCUUCCCAUUACGUAAUGCAUAUACGUAAUCAUUGGCCUAGCUCCGGGUUCGACUCCCGGCUGAUGCA